GACGAACGCUGGCGGCGUGCUUAACACAUGCAAGUCGAACGGAAAGGCCUCUUUCGGGGGGUACUCGAGUGGCGAACGGGUGAGUAACACGUGAGUAACCUGCCCUUGACUUUGGGAUAACUUCAGGAAACUGGGGCUAAUACCGGAUAGGAGCUCCUGCUGCAUGGUGGGGGUUGGAAAGUUUCGGCGGUUGGGGAUGGACUCGCGGCUUAUCAGCUUGUUGGUGGGGUAGUGGCUUACCAAGGCUUUGACGGGUAGCCGGCCUGAGAGGGUGACCGGCCACAUUGGGACUGAGAUACGGCCCAGACUCCUACGGGAGGCAGCAGUGGGGAAUAUUGCACAAUGGGUGGAAGCCCGAUGCAGCAACGCCGUGUGCGGGAUGACGGCCUUCGGGUUGUAAACCGCUUUCGCUCAUGACGAAGCUUUGUGUGACGGUAGUGGGUAAAGAAGCACCGGCUAACUACGUG
rnacentral:rRNA from 1 species